rnacentral:rRNA from 1 species
AACGAACGCUGGCGGCAUGCCUAACACAUGCAAGUCGAACGAGAUCUUCGGGUCUAGUGGCGCACGGGUGCGUAACGCGUGGGAAUCUGCCCUUUGGUUCGGAAUAACAGUUGGAAACGACUGCUAAUACCGGAUGAUGACGAAAGUCCAAAGAUUUAUCGCCAGGGGAUGAGCCCGCGUAGGAUUAGCUAGUUGGUGUGGUAAAGGCGCACCAAGGCGACGAUCCUUAGCUGGUCUGAGAGGAGGAUCAGCCACACGGGGACUGAGACACGGCCCAGACUCCGACGGGGGGCAGAAGUGGGGAGUAUUGGACGAUGGGCGAAAGCUCGAUCCAGCAAUGCCGCGUGAGUGAUGAAGGCCUUAGGGUUGUAAAGCUCUUUUACCCGGGAUGAUAAUGACAGUACCGGGAGAAUAAGCGCCGGCUAACUCCGUGCCAGCCGCCGCAGUAA